GAUGAAGAACGUAGCGAAAUGCGAUAAGUAAUGUGAAUUGCAGAAUUCAGUGAAUCAUCGAGUCUUUGAACGCACAUUGCGCCCCCUGGUAUUCCGGGGGGCAUGCCUGUCCGAGCGUCAUUGCUGCCCUCAAGCACGGCUUGUAUGUUGGGCCCCCGUCCCCGGUUCUCCCCGGGGACGGGCCCGAAAGGCAGCGGCGGCACCGCGUCCGAUCCUCGAGCGUAUGGGGCUUUGUCACCCGCUCUGUAGNNNNNGCCGGCGCCAGCCGACACCCCAACUUUAUUUUCUAAGGUUGACCUCGGAUCAGGUAGGGAUACCCGCUGAACUUAAGCAUAUCAAUAAGCGGAGGA
rnacentral:misc_RNA from 1 species